UACGGAGGGUGCAAGCGUUGUUCGGAAUCACUGGGCGUAAAGGGCGCGCAGGCGGUUUGGUAAGUCAGAUGUGAAAGCCCACGGCUUAACCGUGGAAGUGCAUUUGAAACUGCCAGACUUGAGUAUCAGAGGGGAAAGUGGAAUUCCCGGUGUAGAGGUGAAAUUCGUAGAUAUCGGGAGGAAUACCGGUGGCGAAGGCGACUUUCUGGCUGAAUACUGACGCUGAGGCGCGAAAGCGUGGGGAGCAAACAGG
rnacentral:rRNA from 1 species